GGCGUGCCUAUACAUGCAAGUCGAGCGAAUCCAGGGAGCUUGCUCCCUGAGAUUAGCGGCGGACGGGUGAGUAACACGUGGGUAACCUGCCUGUAAGAUUGGGAUAACUCCGGGAAACCGGAGCUAAUACCGGAUAACAUUUCGAACCGCAUGGUUCGGAAUUGAAAGGUGGCUUUUGCUACCACUUACAGAUGGACCCGCGGCGCAUUAGCUAGUUGGUGAGGUAACGGCUCACCAAGGCGACGAUGCGUAGCCGACCUGAGAGGGUGAUCGGCCACACUGGGACUGAGACACGGCCCAGACUCCUACGGGAGGCAGCAGUAGGGAAUCUUCCGCAAUGGACGAAAGUCUGACGGAGCAACGCCGCGUGAACGAUGAAGGCCUUCGGGUCGUAAAGUUCUGUUGUUAGGGAAGAACAAGUACCAGAGUAACUGCUGGUACCUUGACGGUACCUAACCAGAAAGCCACGGCUAACUACGUGCCAGCAGCCGCGGUAAUACGUAGGUGGCAAGCGUUGUCCGGAAUUAUUGGGCGUAAAGCGCGCGCAGGCGGUUUCUUAAGUCUGAUGUGAAAGCCCACGGCUCAACCGUGGAGGGUCAUUGGAAACUGGGGAACUUGAGUGCAGAAGAGGAGAGC
rnacentral:rRNA from 1 species